rnacentral:lncRNA from 1 species
AUCGAGCUAAAUUAUACAAAAGCCCACAAUGAGCCCUUCAUAUUGUAAGGCAUAUUCAAAGUCUAGAUCCUUACCGAGCAUCAUGGCAGAAGUAAACGAUAGCAUAAUACAAUUCAGUUUCUUACUUAAAACUUUCUAGAUGCCAACAAGGCCAGAAUCUUACACUAGAGCAAGAUUAGCUUUUAUUUGACUUUACAAAGUUGAAUGGCGAAAUAGCUGAAUAUAGUAGAGCUAACUUCUACGGCACCCGAGGGUGUGGCCCAGUGGUCAAUGAAGUGGGUUGACACCUAUGAGGUCUCAAGAUCAAAUCUCAACCAAGGCAAAAAAACACUAGGUGAGUUCUUUCUAUCUAAUCAUGUCUUGAUGGGUAGAGUUACCUGAUACCUAUACUGGUGGGAGGUAGUAGAUACCUGUAGAGUUAGUCGAGGUGUGCGCAAGCUAGCUCGAAUACCAUGAUUAUCCAAGAAAUAAAAAAUAGAGCUAACUUUUACGUGGCUAUCCUAGAAAUGUGCAGGCAUCAAAAGCCUCAAAAUCACAUUUUGAUAAUAAUACACAUUAAUUAGCUUGCCAUUGGAUCCUUUUGUUUUUAGGCAUAAAAUGUCUCAAACCAAAUAUUGUAAAAGUUAAACCUAGAAGCCUCUGACCCAUUUAGGUGAAAGACAAAUUAGAAACUUGUCCAACAAUCUUUAUUUUCUUACUUUGAAUGGCUAAAUCUGAAAGUCAUCCUGUGUAACUUAGGGCAAGUUGUUUGUUUUUCUCACCUCUUUUUCGAACUAUAUAUCAAAUAUGAACACCUUAUCCACCUCAGAAUUCAGAUAACACAGAUACUAUUAGCACGUGCAACAAAAGGACCAGAAGAAUAGACCUUAUCUGUACGGUAUACUAGAUGCAUCAGGAUAUGAUGGAGCUUCAUAGAACCAGCAAACAAUGUAAAACUCGAGGCACAUAUCUGGAAGAAAGCUACAGAUAAUAUUUUGAGUGAAAUUGCAAUAAGAAUGUCUAACAUGGAUUCCUCAAGUAGGUGAAAAUCUUAGAUAUCAGGGUUCAAAAUACGCUAGGUGUCCAUCUGCCUAAGCUUGGUGGGCAGAACUAUUAGGUACCUAUGCUGGAGGGAAGGUGUAGGUAUCUGGCGGAACAAUUGAGAGCGAGCAAGCUGAACCCAACGCACUGUUACUAAAUAAAGCCUAAUACAGAUCUAAGAAGCCAAGGCAAAAGAAAUGUUGUAAACUAAGCUUGCAAAAAGGGUUAUGAAAAACUAAGCUUGCAAAAAGACAUAUGCACCAACACAAGAGCAAACAGCCUUCUAAACAUGCUCAUAAACUUACGAAUUAAAAAGAGAGAAACUUGCAGGUUUUGUUCUCAGAGCAAGUGAAGAUGAAGGCUGCAAUACAAGGGAAAGAUCAUAUAACAAGUGAUGACGAGUCAGACAAGGAAAGUAGUCAGUCACCUUCCAAGAAGGAGGUCAAGUCCCUUAAGGAAGAACUUGAAAGAAUAAAGAUACAAAUGGAAGAGCUUCAGAGGGACUACUCGGAACUGCAACACGAUUAUGAAAAAGUAAACAACGAAAACAUCAGUCACCUUCGAAGAAGGAGGUCAAGUCCCUUAGAGAAGAACUUGAAAAAAUAAAGACGCAAAUGGAAGAGCUUCAGAGGGACUACUCGGAGCUGCAACACGAUUAUGACAAAGU